rnacentral:rRNA from 1 species
ACGGGAGGCAGCAGUGGGGAAUAUUGGGCAAUGGGCGCAAGCCUGACCCAGCGACGCCGCGUGAGGGAAGAAGGUCUUCGGAUUGUAAACCUCUUUCAGCAGGGAAGACCAAGAGAUGGUACCUGCAGAAGAAGUCACGGCUAACUACGUGCCAGCAGCCGCGGUAAUACGUAGGUGGCGAGCGUUAUCCGGAAUUACUGAGUGUAAAGGGUGUGUAGGCGGAGAGGCAAGUCAGGCGUGAAAUACGUGGGCUCAACCCACGAACUGCGCUUGAAGCUGUUUCACUUGAGAGUGGGAGAGGUAAACGGAAUUCCUGGUGUAGUAGUGAAAUGCGUAGAUAUCAGGAGGAACACCGGUGGCGAAGGUGGUUUACUGGACCACAACUGACGCUGAGACACGAAAGCGUGGGGAGCAAACAGGAUUAGAUACCCUGGUA